rnacentral:rRNA from 1 species
CCCUUAGAUGUCCUGGGCCGCACGCGCGUUACACUGAUGCAUUCAACGAGCAUAUAACCUUGGCCGAGAGGCCUGGGUAAUCUUGUUAACAUGCAUCGUGAUAGGGAUAGAUUAUUGCAAUUAUUAAUCUUGAACGAGGAAUUCCUAGUAAUCGCAGUUCAUCAAACUGCAAUGAUUACGUCCCUGCCCUUUGUACACACCGCCCGUCGCACCUACCGAUUGAAUGGUCCGGUGAGGACUCGGGAUUGUGGUUUAGCUCCUUCAUUGGGGCCUGACUGCGAGAACUUGUCCGAACCUUAUCAUUUAGAGGAAGUAAAAGUCGUAACA